rnacentral:lncRNA from 1 species
UUUACCGUCUUUUACAACUUCGUUGUAGGAGGUGUGAAAGAGGAGGGAAAUUGUGUUGGAAGAGGAGAUUAGGACAUCAAGAGACACCAAGAGUAACCAUGUACAGAGAAAAACAUCAUAUGAAGACACAGCAAGAAGGUGGCCAUCUGUAAGCCAAAGAGAGGCCUCAGAAGAAACCAAAUCUGCUAACACAAUCAUGGACUUUCAGCCUCCAGGACUGUGUGAAAAUAAAUUUCUGCUGUUUAAGCCACCCCAGUGUCUGGAAUUCUAUGGCAG